rnacentral:rRNA from 1 species
UACGUAGGGGGCAAGCGUUGUCCGGAUUUAUUGGGCGUAAAGAGCGUGUAGGCGGCCAGGUAGGUCCGCUGUGAAAACUCGAGGCUCAACCUCGAGAUGUCGGCGGAAACCAUCUGGCUAGAGUCCGGAAGAGGAGAAUGGAAUUCCCGGUGUAGCGGUGAAAUGCGCAGAUAUCGGGAAGAACACCCGUGGCGAAGGCGGUUCUCUGGGACGGUACUGACGCUGAGACGCGAAAGCGUGGGGAGCGAACAGG